rnacentral:rRNA from 1 species
CUCCUACGGGAGGCAGCAGUGGGGAAUCUUAGACAAUGGGCGCAAGCCUGAUCUAGCGAUGCCGCGUGAGUGAUGAAGGCCUUAGGGUCGUAAAGCUCUUUCGCCAGGGAUGAUAAUGACAGUACCUGGUAAAGAAACCCCGGCUAACUCCGUGCCAGCAGCCGCGGUAAUACGGAGGGGGUUAGCGUUGUUCGGAAUUACUGGGCGUAAAGCGUACGUAGGCGGAUCAGAAAGUAAGAGGUGAAAUCCCAGGGCUCAACCCUGGAACUGCCCUUUAAACUCCUGGUCUUGAGUUCGAGAGAGGUGAGUGGAAUUCCAAGUGUAGAGGUGAAAUUCGUAGAUAUUUGGAGGAACACCAGUGGCGAAGGCGGCUCACUGGCUCGAUACUGACGCUGAGGUACGAAAGUGUGGGGAGCAAACAGGAUUAGAUACCCUGGUAGUCCACACCGUAAACGAUGAAUGCCAGACGUCAGCAAGCAUGCUUGUUGGUGUCACACCUAACGGAUUAAGCAUUCCGCCUGGGGAGUACGGUCGCAAGAUUAAAACUCAAAGGAAUUGACGG